rnacentral:rRNA from 1 species
CCUACGGGCGGCAGCAGUGAGGAAUAUUGGUCAAUGGACGCGAGUCUGAACCAGCCAUGUAGCGUGAAGGAUGACGGCCCUACGGGUUGUAAACUGCUUUUAUAAGAGGAUAAAGUGAGGCACGUGUGCCUUUUUGUAUGUACUUUAUGAAUAAGGAUCGGCUAACUCCGUGCCAGCAGCCGCGGUAAUACGGAGGUGCCGAGCGUUAUCCGGAUUUAUUGGGUGUAAAGGGAGUGUAGACGGGUUGUUAAGUCAGUUGUGAAAGCUACCGGCUCAACCGUUAAACUGCAAUUGAUACUGGCAGCCUGGAGUACAGUUGAGGUAGGCGGAAUUCGUUGUGUAGCGGUGAAAUGCUUAGAUAUAACGAAGAACUCCGAUGGCGAAGGCAGACUACUAAACGGCAACUGACAGUGAGGCUCGAAAGUGUGGGUAUCAAACAGGAUUAGAUACCCGAGUAGUC